AGCAGCCGCGGUAAUUCCAGCUCCAAUAGCGUAUAUUAAAGUUGUUGCAGUUAAAAAGCUCGUAGUUGAAUUUCGGGAUCAAUACGUCGGUCGUGCUUCGGUACGUACUGGCGUAAUUGAUUUCUCCCUUCUGACGAACCAUGAUGUCAUUAACUUGGUGUCAUGGGAAAUCAGGACUGUUACUUUGAAAAAAUUAGAGUGUUUAAAGCAGGCUCACGCUUGAAUACAUUAGCAUGGAAUAAUGAAAUAGGACGUUCGAUCCUAUUUUGUUGGUUUUUAGGAUCAACGUAAUGAUUAAUAGGGAUAGUUGGGGGCAUUAGUAUUCAAUUGUCAGAGGUGAAAUUCUUGGAUUUAUUGAAGACUAACUACUGCGAAAGCAUUUGCCAAGGAUGUUUUCAUUAAUCAAGAACGAAAGUUAGGGGAUCGAAGACGAUCAGAUACCGUCGUAGUCUUAACCAUAAACUAUGCCGACUAGGGAUCGGAUGAUGUUAAUUUUUAAUGACUCAUUCGGCGCUUAAC
rnacentral:rRNA from 1 species